UGAUCUUGAUUUGAAUAGAGUGGAGGAGCCCAGUGAUACGGGUAAUCAUUUAACAAGUAAUAGUCAUAGGAUGGAUGUGCAUCUUCAGGCAGUCAAAUCCUCAUCGGUAGCUGUUCUUAAUGGAGAGUCGAGUGUCCACAGGGAUUUUGAUUUGAAUGCUGGGCCGCUUGUGGAUGAGGGGAGUUCCGAACCAUCCCCAUUUGGCCAAUCUACAAGGAAUAAUACACUACCCCAGUCAUCUGUUUCUGGCCUUAGAUUAAACAGCACCGAAAUGGGGAACUUCUCUUCAUGGUUUCCUCAGGGGAAUCCCUACCCAGCUGUUGCCAUUCAGUCUAUGUUACCUGAUAGAGGGGAACAGUCUUUUUCAAUGGUCACCCCUGGUGGGCCUCAACGGAUGUUGGCUCCCCCUACUGGCAGCACACCAUUUAAUCCUGACAUCUACAGGGGGCCGGUGUUAUCAUCUACUCCAGCAGUUCCCUUUCCAGCUUCGCCAUUUCAAUAUUCUGUCAUUCCUUUUGGGACCAAUUUUCAUAUACCAUCAACAACUUUUUCAGGUGGUUCAACAACAUAUGUGGAUUCAUCAUCUGGUGGGAGACUUUGUUUUCCUACAGUGCAAUCUCAAGUAUUAGCACCUUCUGGUGCUGUCCCAUCUCAUUAUCCAAGUCCUUUUGUUGUUAGCCUCCAGGAUAUUAGUAAUAUCAAUGGCUCUGAAAGUAGUAGGAAAUGGGGAAGGCAAGGUCUAGACCUCAAUGCUGGGCCUUUGGGCACAGACUUGGAAGGGAGAGAUGAGACGUCUGCUUUUGCAUCAAGGCAAUUGUCCAUUGCCAGUUCACAGACCAUUGCAGAGGAGCAGUCAAGGAUGUAUCAAGUGCCGGGCAGUGGCAUAUUGAAAAGGAAGGAGCCAGAGGGUGGCUGGGAAGGUUAUAAGCAAUCCUCUUGGCAGUAGAGAUGCGCAAUGGCAAAAUCCAGCAAUCCAUGAAGCCCUGCUCUUGGAUUGAUACUGGCUAACUUCCAGAGGUUGCCAUGGAACUCAUGCUCUUCAAGGAUAGGUGGUAAGUGAGUUGUUUGAUGCCAUUCCAUCAAUCACCCCGCCUUUAUGCCUUAGAGGAAUCUGUCUGGGGUCUGCAAGUUGGUAUGUCCUUGAACUUGUCCUAGGUGGCUGCUGCACUUUCUCCUUUGUAGAUAUGUUAACCGUUGGAAAGCAGCAUGCAUUGUCUGUUGCCCAGACAUUUGGAAUUGGUGCCCAUACUGUACAACAGUGCAUCAACAUGUUAUGCUAUUGGACCCAAAACCUCCUUCCUUUUCCAACGUUUCCAAGAAUGGAGAAUGGGG
rnacentral:misc_RNA from 1 species